GUGAGGUAACGGCUCACCAAGGCGAUGACGGGUAGCUGGUCUAAGCGGAUGAUCAGCCACACGGGGACUGAGACACGGCCCCGACUCCUACGGGAGGCAGCAGUGGGGAAUUUUGGACAAUGGGCGCAAGCCUGAUCCAGCGACGCCGCGUGCGGGAGGAAGCCCUUCGGGGUGUAAACCGUUGUCAGGGGGGAAGAACAGGUUCGAGCUAAUACCUCGGGCAACUGACGGUACCCCCAGAGGAAGCGCCGGCUAACUCCGUGCCAGCAGCCGCGGUAAUACGGAGGGCGCAAGCGUUGUCCGGAAUUACUGGGCGUAAAGGGGGCGCAGGCGGCUUGGUAAGUCCUGUGUGAAAGCCCGCGGCUCAACCGCGGAAAGCCACAGGAUACUGCCGGGCUAGAGACGGGUAGAGGCGAGUGGAAUUCCCGGUGUAGCGGUGGAAUGCGUAGAUAUCGGGAAGAACACCAGUGGCGAAGGCGACUCGCUGGGCUCGUUCUGACGCUCAGGCCCGAAAGCGUGGGGAGCAAACAGGAUUAGAUACCCUGGUAGUCCACGCCGUAAACGAUGGGCACUAGGUGCUGGGGAGUGUGACCUUUUCGGUGCCGUAGCUAACGCGUUAAGUG
rnacentral:rRNA from 1 species